CCCUAUUAUUUUGGAACGUUAAGUUAUUUAGUGCCUGAGUAGUACUAGUUAUGUUCUUGAAACUUAAAGAAUUUGGCGGUAUCUUAUUCCGUCCAGAGGAAUCUGUCUCGUUAUCGAUAGUCCGCGUUGGACCUUACUUGGUUUAUAUAUGGUUUGUAUACCGCCGUUUAUUGAUUAUCUUUUUAGGGUUGUAAAAUUUUCUGGUCUCUUGAGUUUGGUUAAUUUCAGGUCAAGGUGCAGCUUAUUUCUAAGUGGAUGAUGGAUUACAUUGUUAUUUGUUUUGAAUUGUUGAUUGGAAUGAUUGGCAUGAAAUUGGAUUUGGUUGUAAUGUUUUGGAGAUUGUUUUCAUGAUAAUUGGUUCUGAGAUAUGUACACAUCGCCCGUCGCUCUCGUUUGUUGUUAAUGAGAUAAGUC
rnacentral:rRNA from 1 species